rnacentral:rRNA from 1 species
UACGUAGGGUGCAAGCGUUGUCCGGAAUUAUUGGGCGUAAAGAGCUCGUAGGCGGUUUGUCGCGUCUGCCGUGAAAGUCCGGGGCUCAACUCCGGAUCUGCGGUGGGUACGGGCAGACUAGAGUGAUGUAGGGGAGACUGGAAUUCCUGGUGUAGCGGUGGAAUGCGCAGAUAUCAGGAGGAACACCGAUGGCGAAGGCAGCUCACUGGGACGGUACUGACGCUGAGACGCGAAAGCGUGGGGAGCAAACAGG